rfam:Schistosoma mansoni strain Puerto Rico chromosome 4, complete genome
AACUUUCUGAAUUCGUGCAGAGAUUUUGUCAGACACUAAUCCAUCAGGGCUGAUGAGACUUCCAAAAUAAGUGAAGUG